GCACAAGCGGUGGAGCAUGUGGUUUAAUUCGAAGCAACGCGAAGAACCUUACCAGGUCUUGACAUCCCUGACAACCCGAGAGAUCGGGCGUUCCCCUUCGGGGGACAGGGUGACAGGUGGUGCAUGGUUGUCGUCAGCUCGUGUCGUGAGAUGUUGGGUUAAGUCCCGCAACGAGCGCAACCCUCGACCUUAGUUGCCAGCAUUCAGUUGGGCACUCUAAGGUGACUGCCGGCUAAAAGUCGGAGGAAGGUGGGGAUGACGUCAAAUCAUCAUGCCCCUUAUGACCAGGGCUUCACACGUCAUACAAUGGUCGGUACAGAGGGUUGCCAAGCCGCGAGGUGGAGCCAAUCCCAGAAAGCCGAUCGUAGUCCGGAUUGUUCUCUGCAACUCGAGAGCAUGGAGUCGGAAUCGCUAGUAAUCGCGGAUCAGCAUGUCGCGGUGAAUACGUUCCCGGGUCUU
rnacentral:rRNA from 1 species